AGCGAACGCUGGCGGCAGGCCUAACACAUGCAAGUCGAACGAAGUCUUCGGACUUAGUGGCGGACGGGUGAGUAACACGUGGGAACGUGCCUUUAGGCUCGGAAUAACUCAGGGAAACUUGUGCUAAUACCGAAUGUGCCCUUCGGGGGAAAGAUUUAUCGCCAUUGGAGCAGCCCGCGUUGGAUUAGGUAGUUGGUGAGGUAAAGGCUCACCAAGCCUACGAUCCAUAGCUGGUCUGAGAGGAUGACCAGCCACACUGGGACUGAGACACGGCCCAGACUCCUACGGGAGGCAGCAGUAGGGAAUCUUGCGCAAUGGGCGAAAGCCUGACGCAGCCAUGCCGCGUGUAUGAUGAAGGUCUUAGGAUUGUAAAAUACUUUCACCGGGGAAGAUAAUGACGGUACCCGGAGAAGAAGCCCCGGCUAACUUCGUGCCAGCAGCCGCGGUAACAC
rnacentral:rRNA from 1 species